GUGGCUCAGUGGUAGAGCUCUUGCCUUGCAUGCAGGAAGCCCUGGGUUCGAUUUCUCAGC
rnacentral:tRNA from 1 species